UACAGAGGGUGCUAGCGUUAUUCGGAAUUAUUGGGCGUAAAGGGCGCGUAGGCGGCCAUGCGCGUCUUCCGUGAAAUCCCUCGGCUUAACUGAGGACGUGCGGAAGAAACUGCAAGGCUCGAGUCCGGGAGAGGGGGGUGGAAUUCCCAGUGUAGCGGUGAAAUGCGUAGAUAUUGGGAGGAACACCGGUGGCGAAGGCGGCCCCCUGGACCGGUACUGACGCUGAGGCGCGAAAGCGUGGGUAGCAAACGGG
rnacentral:rRNA from 1 species